rnacentral:rRNA from 1 species
GUAGGCAGCGAGCGUUGUUCGGAGUUACUGGGCGUAAAGCGUGCGUAGGCGGUGGUCCAAGUCUGGUGUGAAAUCUCCCGGCUUAACUGGGAGGGUGCGCCGGAAACUGGGCCGCUGGAGUACGGGAGAGGCAAGCGGAAUUCCUGGUGUAGCGGUGAAAUGCGUAGAUAUCAGGAGGAACACCCGUGGUGCAGACGGCUUGCUGGACCGUGACUGACGCUGAGGCACGAAAGCGUGGGUAGCAAACAGGAUUAGAUACCCUGGUAGUCCACGCCCUAAACGAUGCAUACUUGGUGUGGGCAGUUCAGUCUGUCCGUGCCGAAGCUAACGCGAUAAGUAUGCCGCCUGGGGAGUACGGUCGCAAGGCUG